AGACCUCAAAUCGGGUG
rnacentral:rRNA from 1 species